CCUACGGGCGGCAGCAGUGGGGAAUAUUGGACAAUGGGCGAAAGCCUGAUCCAGCCAUGCCGCGUGUGUGAAGAAGGCCUUCGGGUUGUAAAGCACUAUCAGUGGGGAAGAAAGCCUUGGGGCUAAUACCCUCGAGGAAGGACAUCACCCACAGAAGAAGCACCGGCUAACUCCGUGCCAGCAGCCGCGGUAAUACGGAGGGUGCGAGCGUUAAUCGGAAUUACUGGGCGUAAAGCGCGCGUAGGCGGUCUGAUAAGCCGGUUGUGAAAGCCCCGGGCUCAACCUGGGAACGGCAUCCGGAACUGUCAGGCUAGAGUGCAGGAGAGGAAGGUAGAAUUCCCGGUGUAGCGGUGAAAUGCGUAGAGAUCGGGAGGAAUACCAGUGGCGAAGGCGGCCUUCUGGACUGACACUGACGCUGAGGUGCGAAAGCGUGGGUAGCAAACAGGAUUAGAUACCCCGGUAGUC
rnacentral:rRNA from 1 species